rnacentral:sRNA from 1 species
ACAUGAACUGCGCCGGGGGAACCGGGGAACCACCACCUUGGGGUGAAUCGGACGCCUCGCGCCAGAGGCGCCCGUAGGAGACCUUCCUGCUCCGAACCCGUCAGCUAACCCGGUAGGCGCGAAGGAAGGAAAG